UACAGAGGUGGCAAGCGUUGUUCGGAAUUACUGGGCGUAAAGGGCGCGUAGGCGGCCUUCUAAGUCAGACGUGAAAUCCCCCGGCUUAACCUGGGACCUGCGUCUGAUACUGGGAGGCUUGAGUAUGGGAGAGGGAUGUAGAAUUCCAGGUGUAGCGGUGAAAUGCGUAGAUAUCUGGAGGAAUACCGGUGGCGAAGGCGGCAUCCUGGACCAUAACUGACGCUGAGGCGCGAAAGCUAGGGGAGCAAACGGG
rnacentral:rRNA from 1 species